UCAGUGGUAGGAGAGCGUUCUAAGGGCGUUGAAGCAUGAUCGCAAGGACAUGUGGAGCGCUUAGAAGUGAGAAUGCCGGUGUGAGUAGCGAAAGACGGGUGAGAAUCCCGUCCACCGAUUGACUAAGGUUUCCAGAGGAAGGCUCGUCCGCUCUGGGUUAGUCGGGUCCUAAGCUGAGGCCGACAGGCGUAGGCGAUGGAUAACAGGUUGAUAUUCCUGUACCACC
rnacentral:rRNA from 1 species